GGUUAAUCUAAUUUUCUUUGAUUAUCAAAGAUAGAAGGAAACUAUAAAAAAGACAAAUAUCAUCGAGAAACGAUCUACGACGACCAAAAUGGUCAGUCGACUCUUAAAUUAUAGUCAUGAUAGUAGCUAUCGUCACUGAAUAAAGAAAUUUACCAAUUUCAUUGCGAGGAGGGAAUAAUGUUGAAACGAAGAAUUGAUAUGCAUAAUAUGGGAAACGGUAAGCAGCAC
rnacentral:lncRNA from 1 species